AUGACAUGGCCACCCCAUUGCCCAUUAAUUUGCACUCCAAAUAAACAUGAGGGUACUUGCAGAGUGACUUUUUUUCUAAUAGUAAUCGGCAAAAAUCAAUGUCUGGCAUUAUAUUUAGGCAUGCAACUUUUUUUUUUUGUAUUGUGCAAUCCUAACAUUUUUACUGGCCCCUUUUGGCCACUCUAUAAAAUAACAUUUUAUUACAUGUCUCACUACUGACUUUGUUAUUACAGAUCAUUUGAUAUGUACUAAUUAUUUAUGAAUUUUUAAUCUGAAAUCACAGCAGCGUCCAUCUAUGAAGGAUGUAGGCUGUCAAACAUUCACAACUGUUAGCCAAUCAUAGCAGUGGGUGUUUACUUCCGAGUCUACAAUCUGGCACGUCUAUUCAAACAGAGCGUUCCGAUGAGGGAGGUCAAAACAGGACAGAAAAUAUAUUAUUACUGCUAAAUUAUGAUGUUUUGUGAUGUAAAAAUCUUGAAAACAUUAUAAGUGGACCUCAGAGAGCAGUACAAAAUAAUAAAAAUAGGCAGUUCAUGACCCCUUUAAUGAUCAAGAAGCAAUCAUAAACCUUAUUAUAAAGUAUUCACAUUUUUCAUCAUGACAAAUUAUAGAAGCACUGUAGCAUAUGCAAUGUUUGACUGAUGUCUGCUCUGCCCAUAUGGACACUUAAUAUUUAUGGUAUUUCAAAAAUACUGUUAUGGAAAAAAAGAUAUUGGACAUUGUUAUAUCUUGUGUCUGAAUCUGUGCCAGUUGUUUGAGGCUUUAAGAACCUGAUGAAUAACAUCCAAAUUGUUCGGUACAUAAUUCAGAGCUACAUUUCCCUUGGAUAUAAGAGAGCAUCUUGACAUUUAAUAAGACGAUCUAAAAAGAUGCAUAGAGACACUUUAAAUGAGUCCCAAUAUUGGGAAAACAAUGCAGUAUGAAUCAUUCGAUGUGCUAAAAAGAAUAAGAAAAAAUAUAAUGUUAGAUUGGAUAGUAUGCAAAAAUAUAUCUGAAUUUCUCCUAGUUCUGCUUCACCUUCUAAUGAUACGAGCGAACAUUUGAUCCCAAAUGUACACACCUUGCAAAUGCUCCACCGAGAUUAACUGUAAAAGCUAUAGCACUCUGAAAAAAUAUGUGUUUGUUAGGAAGCCGAAAGUCGUAUCGGCAAGCUGGAACACUAAUAAGUGACCUGGCUCAGAAUGGAUACAAAUAUCUAUACCUCUAUACAUGUACAUGUUAAUAUCAUCAUAUUCAUUUCAAUAAAUUACAUUUGAGUCUUCAUCAACACACAAGUAGUAAACAAUAUACUUAACCACAAGUUUCUGGUCUUUUAAAGAUGGAUAUGUCAAAAAUGCACUGCAAAGCAAAAAAAAAAAGAGGUUAGAAUAAUGCACAGCCUACACAAAGUCACUUCUCAGGACUGGAUCUUGAGGACAGUUGCAUCACUGGAAAAGUCGUUAUAAGGACAUGCGGCAAAUCAAAGACGGAAAAUUAAAGGGAUAGUUUACUCAAAAAUGUAAAUGUUGUCAUCAUUCACUCAUCCUCAUGUCAUUUCAGCACUUUAUGUCUGUCUGUCUUCUGUGGAAGAUCAAAGAUUGUAUGGUCCAUACAAUAGAAGUCAAUGGUAACCAAAUUGGUUUAGUUACCAACAUCCUUCAAAAUCUCUUCUUUUGUUUUGCAAAGUCAUACAGGAUUUUUAACAUCAAGAAGGCUGAUAAAUGCUGAUAGAAUUUGAAUUUUUGGGUGAACUAUCCUUUUAAUACAUAUUAAUAGACAUAUUUUAAACCUUCACAGAAAAGCAUCCUUCAUGUUAUCGUCACCGGAGCAAAGAGACAUGGACGAGUUUGUAGCUGCAGUCUGAUUGGCACAAAACAAAACUGAGGCUCAAGCAAACACUGCAUGUUAUCAGUGUAGAUGGUGAUAGUCAUUCCCAAAAAAAAAAAAAUCAAAAAUCCACAGUGAUUCACAUCAAUAACUGCUCCCAAAUGCAUUAGACUCUAUGCACUGGAGGCUGAAUCCUUGCGGAGCUGGGCACCUUCCAGGGGCCUGGGGUUAUAGGGGCUCUCUUGGUGGUAGGGUUCCCAUUCUGGGGAGUCUCUUCUAGAGGCUACAAGACAAACACUGCAUGUUAUCAGUGUAGAUGGUGAUAGUCAUACCAAAAAAAAAAAAUCAAAAUCCACAGUGAUUCACAUC
rnacentral:lncRNA from 1 species